GACGAACGCUGGCGGCGUGCCUAAUACAUGCAAGUUGAGCGCUGAAGGUUGGUACUUGUCCCAACUGGAUGAGCAGCGAACGGGUGAGUAACGCGUGGGGAAUCUGCCUUUUAGCGGGGGACAACAUUUUGAAACGAAUGCUAAUACCGCAUAAAAACUUUAAACACAAGUUUUAAGUUUUAAAGAUGCCAUUGCAUCACUCAAAGAUGAUCCCGCGUUGUAUUAGCUAGUUGGUGAGGUAAAGGCUCACCCAGGCGAUGAUACAUAGCCGACCUGAGAGGGAGAUUGGCCAAAAUGGGACUGAGAAAAGGCCCAAAACUCUAAGGGGAGCAGCAGGAGGGAAAUUUUGGAAAAGGAGGAAAGGCUGAACGAGCAACGCCGGGGGAGGGAAGAAGGGUUUCGGAUCGGAAAACUCUGUUGGUAGAGAAGAAAGUGGGUGAGAGUGGAAAGCUCAUCAAGUGACGGUAACUACACAGAAAGGGACGGCUAACUACGUG
rnacentral:rRNA from 1 species